rnacentral:sRNA from 1 species
UGUCAACUGAUUUAUUUUCAUUUUCAAUAUGAAGUUGGCGAAAAAAUCGAUGCCCAAGAACAACUCCAGGGCUGUACUUUGCCCUCAUAAUACAUCUAGGGGCAUCGGACAUCCUGCAUAAGUGUGUCUCUCCCUGCGUCCAACGCGACGCAACCUGUCGUUGCAUAAUCAGUAUAGAGGUUAUAUCAGCAAUCCGAAGUCAUGAUUUCUCAACCCCAGGGCUAGCAAAAUCGAUCUCGAUCACAAGGCACAAGGCCACCUUGCAUUCCAGAGCCCCAGAUAAUGCCUAAGUGACCCGGAAAAUCAACAAAAAUGUCGUUAUCUUUUUUGAAUCAUUUUUUAAAAAUAAAUUGGUUGAGUAAUAAAUUGAAGUACAAUGACCCUUUCAUACCCA